UUUCCGGUUGAUCCUGCCGGAGGCUACCGCUAUUGGAGUUCGAUUGAAGCCUGCGAGUCGAGAGUCUUAGGGACUCGGCGUACCGCUCAGUAACACGUGGGUAACCUGCCCUAUGCUGGGGAAUAACCUCGGGAAACUGAGAAUAAUACCCCAUAGUUCACUACGCCUGAAACGGUGAGUGGAUGAAAGCUCCGGCGGCAUAGGAUGGGCCUGCGGCGUAUCAGGUCGUAGGGGGUGUAACGUACCCUCUAGCCAUCGACGCGUACGGGUGUUGGGAGACAUAGCCCGGAGAUGGAUUCUGAGACACGAAUCCAGACCCUACGGGGUGCAGCAGGCGCGAAAACUUGGCAAUGCGAGAAAUCGUGACCAGGGAACUCCAAGUGGCUGGGGUAAGACCCAGUCUUUUCUUGACUCUUCAAAGGUCUUGGAAUAAGAGGUGGGUAAGGACGGUGCCAGCCGCCGCGGUAAUACCGGCGCCUCAAGUGGUAGUCGAUUUUAUUGGGCCUAAAACGUCCGUAGCCUGUUUGGUACAUUCGUGGGUAAAUCAACCAGCCCAACUGGUUGAAUUCUGCGAGCACGGCCAGACUUGGGACCGGGAGAGGUGUGGGGGUACGCUCAGGGUAGGGGUAAAAUCCUGUCAUCCUGAGCGGACCACCUGUUGCGAAGGCGCCACACUAG
rnacentral:rRNA from 1 species